AGUGGUUCUCAACAGUUCAACAGUUCUUUUGAUGAUUGUGAAAUGUUCAGGACCACUUG
rnacentral:pre_miRNA from 3 species